rnacentral:rRNA from 1 species
AACGAACGCUGGCGGCAGGCCUAACACAUGCAAGUCGAGCGGACCUUUCGGGGUCAGCGGCGGACGGGUGAGUAACGCGUGGGAAUAUGCCCUUCUCUACGGAAUAGUCCUGGGAAACUGGGGGUAAUACCGUAUACGCCCUUUGGGGGAAAGAUUUAUCGGGGAAGGAUUAGCCCGCGUUGGAUUAGGUAGUUGGUGGGGUAAUGGCCUACCAAGCCGACGAUCCAUAGCUGGUUUGAGAGGAUGAUCAGCCACACUGGGACUGAGACACGGCCCAGACUCCUACGGGAGGCAGCAGUGGGGAAUCUUAGACAAUGGGGGCAACCCUGAUCUAGCCAUGCCGCGUGAGUGAUGAAGGCCUUAGGGUUGUAAAGCUCUUUCAGCUGGGAAGAUAAUGACGGUUCCAGCAGAAGAAGCCCCGGCUAACUCCGUG